AUUCCUGCCCANUGACUUAACAAGUUCAACGGCCGCGGUAUCCUAACCGUGCAAAGGUAGCAUAAUCACUUGCCCAUUAAUUGUGGGCUAGAAUGAAAGGACUAACGAAAUAGANACUGUCUCUAUAAGNAGCAUAAAAAUUAAUCUCUANCUGAAGAGUGNUAGAUUUAAUCGAAGGACAAGAAGACCCUAUAGAGCUUUAUUUAAUAAAAGUAUAACCUAACUUUUUAUAAUUCGGUUGGGGCGACCAGGGAAACAAUAAAUCAUCCCUCAUUAUAAGAUAAAUAAAUCUCUCCUAUGACCCUUGAAAAAGAUCAAAAAACCAAGCUACCUUAGGGAUAACAGGCUAAUCCUAUUAAAGAGUCCUUAUCAAUAAUAGGGUUUGGCACCUCGAUGUUGGC
rnacentral:rRNA from 1 species